rnacentral:rRNA from 1 species
UACGUAGGUGGCAAGCGUUGUCCGGAUUUACUGGGCGUAAAGAGCGCGCAGGCGGUCGGCCAAGUCGAGUGUGAAAGCCCCCGGCUCAACUGGGGAGGGUCAUUCGAUACUGGUCGACUCGAAGGCAGGAGAGGGAAGCGGAAUUCCCGGUGUAGUGGUGAAAUGCGUAGAUAGUCGGGAGGAACACCAGUGGCGAAGGGCGGCUUCCUGGCCUGUUCGUUGACGCUGAGGCG